rnacentral:tRNA from 1 species
GGCGCUAUAGUGUAGUGGUUAUCACUCGGGAUUCUGACUUGUCACAUUCCCGAGACCCAGGUUCGAUCCCUGGUAGCGCCU